rnacentral:rRNA from 1 species
GUGCCAGCAGCCGCGGUAAUACGUAAGGACCGAGCGUUGUCCGGAAUCAUUGGGCGUAAAGGGUACGUAGGCGGUUAAAAAAGUUAGAAGUGAAAGGCUAUAGCUCAACUAUAGUAAGCUUUUAAAACUGUUUAACUUGAGAGAUGGAAGGGAAAGUGGAAUUCCUAGUGUAGCGGUGAAAUGCGCAGAUAUUAGGAGGAAUACCGGUGGCGAAGGCGACUUUCUGGCCAUUAUCUGACGCUGAGGUACGAAAGCGUGGGUAGCAAACAGGAUUAGAU